AGGACUGGGAUAACCCUGGGAAACUGGGGAUAAUACCGGAUAGGCAAUUUUUCCUGUAAUGGUUUUUUGUUUAAAUGUUUUUUCGCCUAAGGAUGGGUCUGCGGCCGAUUAGGUAGUUGGUUAGGUAAUGGCUUACCAAGCCGUUGAUCGGUACGGGUUGUGAGAGCAAGAGCCCGGAGAUGGAACCUGAGACAAGGUUCCAGGCCCUACGGGGUGCAGCAGGCGCGAAACCUCCGCAAUGUGAGAAAUCGCGACGGGGGGAUCCCAAGUGCCAUUCUUAACGGGAUGGCUUUUCAUUAGUGUAAAGAGCUUUUGGAAUAAGGGCUGGGCAAGACCGGUGCCAGCCGCCGCGGUAACACCGGCAGCUCUAGUGGUAGCAGUUUUUAUUGGGCCUAAAGCGUCCGUAGCCGGUUUAAUAAGUCUCUGGUGAAAUCCUGUAGCUUAACUGUGGGAAUUGCUGGAGAUACUAUUAGACUUGAGACCGGGAGAGGUUAGAGGUACUCCCAGGGUAGAGGUGAAAUUCUGUAAUCCUGGGAGGACCGCCUGUUGCGAAGGCGUCUAACUGGAACGGUUCUGACGGUGAGGGACGAAAGUUAGGGGCGCGAACCGGAUUAGAUACCCGGGUAGUCCUAACUGUAAACGAUGCGGACUUGGUGUUGGGGUGGCUUUGAGCUGCUCCAGUGCCGAAGGGAAGCUGUUAAGUCCGCCGCCUGGGAAGUACGGUCGCAAGACUGAAACUUAA
rnacentral:rRNA from 1 species